GGAUGUGAGGGUGAUCUGGCUGUGACAUCUGUCACCAUAUUGAUCACCAGGGUUGAUUCAGCUGAUGGCUGGUUAGCCAGGAGUCCCCUUCCUUCCUCUCUGCUCCUGCGUGCCCCUCCAGAAACUGCAUGCUUGGUUAAAGAGGACGACUACCCUGAUAGAGGAGCCCUUUCCUUGGUCAAGGGUAUGCGAGUAGCUGUGCUCCUCUAAUAAGAACCUCCAAAUGCGCUCUCAAGAAAUGAACUGAAAGGACCAUAGUCCUAAUGAGACCAAGACAGAGAGAGACAGACACCGAUUUAAGAAUUGGAGCCCAUCCAGUCUUGAAGU
ensembl:misc_RNA 7SK 7SK RNA